rnacentral:rRNA from 1 species
UCAUUACAGAGCUGCAAAACUCCCUAAACCAUCGUGAACGCUACCUAAACCGUUGCUUCGGCGGGCGGCGCCCUCGCGCGCCCCCCCUGGGGCCCGCACCGCGGGCGCCCGCCGGAGGUACACCAAACUCUUGAUAUGUUAUGGCCACUCUGAGUCUCCUGUACUGAAUAAGUCAAAACUUUCAACAACGGAUCUCUUGGUUCUGGCAUCGAUGAAGAACGCAGCGAAAUGCGAUAAGUAAUGUGAAUUGCAGAAUUCAGUGAAUCAUCGAAUCUUUGAACGCACAUUGCGCCCGCCAGCAUCCUGGCGGGCAUGCCUGUUCGAGCGUCAUUUCAACCCAUCAAGCCCACGGCUUGUGUUGGGGACCUGCGGCUGCCCGCAGGCCCUGAAAACCAGUGGCGGGCUCGCUAGUCACACCGGGCGUAGUAGCAUACGACCUCGCUCAGGGCGUGCUGCGGGUUCCAGCCGUAAAACGACCUUCACAACCCAAGGUUGACCUCGGAUCAGGUAGGAGGACCCGCUGAACUUAAGCAUAUCAAAA